AGAGUUUGAUCAUGGCUCAGAUUGAACGCUGGCGGCAGGCCUAACACAUGCAAGUCGAGCGGUAGCACAGAGAGCUUGCUCUCGGGUGACGAGCGGCGGACGGGUGAGUAAUGUCUGGGAAACUGCCUGAUGGAGGGGGAUAACUACUGGAAACGGUAGCUAAUACCGCAUAAUGUCGCAAGACCAAAGUGGGGGACCUUCGGGCCUCAUGCCAUCAGAUGUGCCCAGAUGGGAUUAGCUAGUAGGUGGGGUAACGGCUCACCUAGGCGACGAUCCCUAGCUGGUCUGAGAGGAUGACCAGCCACACUGGAACUGAGACACGGUCCAGACUCCUACGGGAGGCAGCAGUGGGGAAUAUUGCACAAUGGGCGCAAGCCUGAUGCAGCCAUGCCGCGUGUGUGAAGAAGGCCUUCGGGUUGUAAAGCACUUUCAGCGGGGAGGAAGGCGUUAAGGUUAAUAACCUUGGCGAUUGACGUUACCCGCAGAAGAAGCACCGGCUAACUCCGUGCCAGCAGCCGCGGUAAUACGGAGGGUGCAAGCGUUAAUCGGAAUUACUGGGCGUAAAGCGCACGCAGGCGGUCUGUCAAGUCGGAUGUGAAAUCCCCGGGCUCAACCUGGGAACUGCAUUCGAAACUGGCAGGCUAGAGUCUUGUAGAGGGGGGUAGAAUUCCAGGUGUAGCGGUGAAAUGCGUAGAGAUCUGGAGGAAUACCGGUGGCGAAGGCGGCCCCCUGGACAAAGACUGACGCUCAGGUGCGAAAGCGUGGGGAGCAAACAGGAUUAGAUACCCUGGUAGUCCACGCCGUAAACGAUGUCGAUUUGGAGGUUGUGCCCUUGAGGCGUGGCUUCCGGAGCUAACGCGUUAAAUCGACCGCCUGGGGAGUACGGCCGCAAGGUUAAAACUCAAAUGAAUUGACGGGGGCCCGCACAAGCGGUGGAGCAUGUGGUUUAAUUCGAUGCAACGCGAAGAACCUUACCUGGUCUUGACAUCCACAGAACUUAGCAGAGAUGCUUUGGUGCCUUCGGGAACUG
rnacentral:rRNA from 1 species